GAGUGGAAAAUCCCGCCCAUCCUCAGAUGCAAGAAUCAUCAGCAAUGGGCCUUCAAGGCGUCAGUCUCUUGGUGGAGCUGAGAACUUCUCUAGAGCAUCCUUUAAUGGCUAUCUAUCUAGGACAAAAUCGAAUUUACAAUCUGGUUUCAACCGUUCCAACACUGCUACUGCAAUAUUGAAACAAGCCAAGAGUUCAUCUAGAUCGUUUGAUGGUGGUAGUAGAUUGCUAGACAGAGAUACGCUAGUACCAUAUGCAACUGGGAAAGAUAACACAAACAGUGCCAGUGAUCAGACUCAGAUGGAUGAGACAAUUGGUAGACAUGAGGAGAGGGCAAAUGGAUCUUUGGCUGAACAAUCCAGGACAGAGCAUGAAGAUUAUGUUUCUGGAGUGCUGUAUGAUAUGUUACAGAAAGAGGUCGUAUCUUUGAGGAAAGCUUGCCAUGAGAAAGAUCAAACCCUCAAGGACAAGGAUGAUGCAAUUGAGGUUAGCUAGUAGGACCUAUCUCAUUAAUUUUGCAACCUCUCUCCACUCUUGUUUUGCUCUUAAUUUGUUUCUUGUGUGGAAUCAAGUAGAUGUUGGCAAAGAAGGUGGAUACACUUAACAAAGCAAUGGAGGUUGAGGCCAAAAAGAUGCAGAGAGAAGUAGCUGCCAUGGAAAAAGAAGUCUCUGCUAUGCGUGUCACCAAGGAGCUUGAUCAGAGGGCACGGCGCUCAAGUGCUCUCCGAGGGGUUGUAAAUAGCUCUCAUACACUUUCUUCUAGGUAAAUAGUUGUGUAUAAUCUUUAAUGGCCUAAAACUGAUGCACUAGUUGUGGAACAGGCCGUCAUUCUUGUUCCUGCUAAGUUCUUGAUUAUAUAAAACAAACAAAAAUGCAUGGCUUGAUAUCUUUGUUCUUUUUCUUUUUUAUCCUUCUUGGUCAUCACAUGGUGUAAUAUAAAAUGCUGAAAGUUGAUAACUUUUGAGCUCCUUCGAGGAGAAGACCAUUGAUCAAUCUGAACAAAGUUUUCUUCUUUCUUUCAGGAAAGGACACAAGUCUAGGUGA
rnacentral:lncRNA from 1 species